AGCCCCAAGGCCAGAAGAUCAUGUGCUAAGAAUUACUAUAGAAUUAGAAAGCAAAAAACAUCCUGCUUUUCCUAAAAAACAAAAUGAUGUAAUACUAAUCCUGUGUAAGCAUGAGUAAGUAUCUUGUACCUUGAAAAUGUUCUGAGAAAGGGUAUAAAACCUGUUGUCAAAAAGUAAAACACAGACUUGGCCCUAUCAAGGCUGGUCUCACGUGUCUUCUCUCUCUCUCUCGCCGAUGCCAUUCAUCCUGAGGGUACCCCCGGAUCCUGCCAAGGCUGGACCCUGGCAAUCUACCCAACCAGUCCAUCC